UACGUAGGGAGCAAGCGUUGUCCGGAAUCAUUGGGCGUAAAGCGCGCGUAGGUGGCCCCAUAAGUCCGCUGUGAAAGUCAAAGGCUCAACCUUUGAAAGCCGGUGGAUACUGUGGGACUAGAGUACGGAAGAGGCGAGUGGAAUUCCUGGUGUAGCGGUGGAAUGCGCAGAUAUCAGGAGGAACACCAAUAGCGAAGGCAGCUCGCUGGGACGUUACUGACACUGAGGCGCGAAAGCGUGGGGGGCGAACAGG
rnacentral:rRNA from 1 species